CAGUAGCCGCGGGAACACGUAGGUGGCAAGCGUUGUCCGGAAUUAUUGGGCGUAAAGGGCUCGCAGGCGGUUUCUUAAGUCUGAUGUGAAAGCCCCCGGCUCAACCGGGGAGGGUCAUUGGAAACUGGGAAACUUGAGUGCAGAAGAGGAGAGUGGAAUUCCACGUGUAGCGGAGAAAUGCGUAGAGAUGUGGAGGAACACCAGUGGCGAAGGCGACUCUCUGGUCUGUAGCUGACGCUGAGGAGCGAAAGCGUGGGGAGCGAACAGGAUUAGAGACCCCAGUAGUCCCUGUCUCUUAUAC
rnacentral:rRNA from 1 species